GAUGAACGCUGGCGGCGUGCCUAAUACAUGCAAGUCGAGCGAACAGACGAGGAGCUUGCUCCUCUGACGUUAGCGGCGGACGGGUGAGUAACACGUGGAUAACCUACCUAUAAGACUGGGAUAACUUCGGGAAACCGGAGCUAAUACCGGAUAAUAUAUUGAACCGCAUGGUUCAAUAGUGAAAGACGGUUUUGCUGUCACUUAUAGAUGGAUCCGCGCCGCAUUAGCUAGUUGGUAAGGUAACGGCUUACCAAGGCAACGAUGCGUAGCCGACCUGAGAGGGUGGUCGGCCACACUGGAACUGAGACGCGGUCCAGACUCCUACGGGAGGCAGCAGUAGGGAAUCUUACGCAAUGGGCGAAAGCCUGACGGAGCAACGCCGCGUGAGUGAUGAAGGUCUUCGGAUCGUAAAACUCUGUUAUUAGGGAAGAACAAAUGUGUAAGUAACUAUGCACGUCUUGACGGUACCUAAUCAGAAAGCCACGGCUAACUACGUG
rnacentral:rRNA from 1 species